CGGAUCGUAAAACUCUGUUGUUAGAGAAGAACAAGGACGUUAGUAACUGAACGUCCCCUGACGGUAUCUAACCAGAAAGCCACGGCUAACUACGUGCCAGCAGCCGCGGUAAUACGUAGGUGGCAAGCGUUGUCCGGAUUUAUUGGGCGUAAAGCGAGCGCAGGCGGUUUCUUAAGUCUGAUGUGAAAGCCCCCGGCUCAACCGGGGAGGGUCAUUGGAAACUGGGAGACUUGAGUGCAGAAGAGGAGAGUGGAAUUCCAUGUGUAGCGGUGAAAUAC
rnacentral:rRNA from 1 species